UUUUGGGAUAACUUUAACUUUGAUCAUCUUUUAAAGUAUUUAAGGAUUUUACAUACAAAUUUGUAAUUUAAAGGGUUCACAAACGGCAACAAAAAACAAAAAAAGGUUUACUAACGAAUUUGUAAUUUUAAGAAGAUCAAAAUAUAAGAAAUAUAAAUAAUAUCAUAAAUUUUAAAGGGUUAUAAUGCAAAUGUUGAACUUUAGGAAACCAGCUGACCUCCUUUAAUCGUCUUUGGAUGUCUAUGCGGCGGACCCAUAAAUACUUUUUAUGGGUCCAUCAAAUAUAAUUUAAAAAUAAUAAGUAAUUAAAAACAACCAAAAACUAAAAAAAAA
rnacentral:sRNA from 1 species